CCUACGGGGGGCAGCAGUGGGGAAUAUUGGACAAUGGGGGCAACCCUGAUCCAGCCAUGCCGCGUGAGUGAAGAAGGCCUUAGGGUUGUAAAGCUCUUUCGCCCGUGAAGAUGAUGACGGUAGCGGGAGAGGAAGCCCCGGCUAACUCCGUGCCAGCAGCCGCGGU
rnacentral:rRNA from 1 species